CAGGGUCUUUCGACUGCCCAAACCCACUGUGAACUCUCCCUUUCGAGGGAAUCGAUAUUCGCAAUGCUUCGGCGGGUCGCUCGCUGGGGGAGCCCCGGGCCUGCGGAAACGCGCCGGCCCGCCGAAGGCAUGCGGACUCAAAAUAUUUCGAGCAACUUUCAGAGAGUUUACUUUCCGUCAUGGAAAAAAACCAUUUA
rnacentral:misc_RNA from 1 species